GCAAAAACGACGACAACAACAACAUCAAAUGUAAACAAACUACUUUUAGGCAGAAAAACUAGCUCAACAAUGGGUUAGACUAAGGACCUUUCAGCUCAUUCUGUUGUGUAAUAUACGCAGUUUUCAAAACUAUGCAGGCUUGAAGCACGAGUGCGUUGCCAAUAUAUCAACUCCGCCACUCCUGAUCUGGUUGAAUCUUUAGAGAAUACUAUUAGUUUCAGAUACAUGUUGUAAAUAGAAGAGUAGAAAGCAAAAUGGCGUGACUGAUUAUUCCCGAUUUGAAUGAAAGAAGGU
rnacentral:lncRNA from 1 species